rfam:Salmo salar isolate Sally breed double haploid chromosome ssa02, whole genome shotgun sequence.
AGCACUCACUACUGUAAGUGUCUCUGGAUAAGAGUGUCUGCUAAAUGACUAACA